UGACUGUUGUUUGGUGUUGGAGAUGU
rnacentral:piRNA from 1 species